rnacentral:lncRNA from 1 species
UGCUCUUCUGCUCGGUUGCAUCCAUUCUGGGAAAGUCGGGUAUUGAAGUCUCCAGAUUAAUACGGUUGAAAGCAAGAAUUCCAAACUUCAAAACUAAGCAGUCUCUGAAGAAUGGAGAUGGCAGGCGUUCUGCUCCCUUACAGCAGCUGGUAGAAUCAAGACCCAUGGGUCCAUGGAGGAAAAGGGGAAGAGCCUCUGUCCUUUGGACCCCUGAUCCCGGGGUUUCCUCUCACACUCCCAUCAUCGCCGUCUCCUCUGUGUGCUGUGCUUAUCAGCCCUGUGGGCUCCAUGGACAUCUCAUGUGCCUGGGAGGCUGCUCUCCUUGUCCUGUGGAUCCAGUUCUUGGCAGCCCCACUCUCAGGAGCACAGGAGUCCUGAGAGCCUCCUUCUGCCCAUCCAGAUGCCCACACACCUGACCAGGAGUGCACUGCUUGUUCUGACAUAAAAAAUGUAGAGAGAGCCACAGCUUGCC